CAGUAGCCGCGGUAAUACGUAGGGUGCGAGCGUUAAUCGGAAUUACUGGGCGUAAAGCGUGCGCAGGCGGUUGUGUAAGACAGGUGUGAAAUCCCCGGGCUUAACCUGGGAACUGCGCUUGUGACUGCACAGCUAGAGUAUGGCAGAGGGGGGUGGAAUUCCACGUGUAGCAGUGAAAUGCGUAGAGAUGUGGAGGAACACCGAUGACGAAGGCAGCCCCCUGGGCCAAUACUGACGCUCAUGCACGAAAGCGUGGGGAGCGAACAGGAUUAGAUACCCGUGUAGUCCCUGUCUCUUAUAC
rnacentral:rRNA from 1 species